rnacentral:lncRNA from 1 species
GAACAAUAAAGUUUUAAGGAUAAAGAAUUUAUAAUUGACAACAACAAAAAUUUCAUUACUUUAAAGUGCUUCACCAAAUAAAUCCUCUUAUUUGUUUUAAUUUAAACAUGUAAUUUUUUUUAUUACUGGUCUAGAUGCUAAAACUUUAAAUUAACAUCAAUUAUAAUUUUAAAUAUAUGCAUAAUAUGCAUGCUAGUAUUCUAUUAUUAUUUUUAUGAUGAAAUCAUGUUUGAUAUUAGUUGUAUUUUUACAUACUUAUAGUUUUAAAUAUAUAUAAACUCUAAAUUUUUAUUGGAUAUUUUUUAUUUAGCAUGUUUUUUUUUAUGAAAAAUUAAAUAUUUUUGCCCACAAGUGUGUGUGUAUAUAAACUUAGAUUUUUUUAAUAUAUAUAAUUGAAUAUGUAGGAGGAGGUCACGUCAGAUCCAUUGUUGAAUAGAUUUGGCGACAAAUAAAUCCCAACUUUGCCAAUGCAUACAAAAAGAAAACAAUCUGAGAGGAUCUUCUUACAUGUCUGAUUAACGGUUUUGUUUCUUGUACCUCGUUCAGUGCAGCAGGAUGACAAUUAGAUGCUCUCUUGUUUUUUUUUUUUUUAAGGUUAAUAUUACAUUUCAAAAUAUAUUUUAUUUAAAAAUAUAUUAAAAUAAUUUUUUAUUUUAUUUUUUAAAAUUUAUUUUUUAUAUCUCAAAACAAUUUAAAAAUAUAAAAAAAUAUUUUUUUUUUUUUAAAUAACAGAACAACCAUUCAAGAUGUCCGGCUAAUCCAUCACUGCUGUUAUAGUACAGUUUUGAAUAUGGUGGCCCUACUGGCACAGUACCACAUUCUGUGCUUAUUUGGACCCUCCAUUUUGGAUAAGAGUAACCCUUCUCUACCUUUGACUAGUCCAUCGAAACUGGGCCUCUUAAUCUUCCAUGUCCCAAAAAUUGUUGUUAUUUUAUUUCACAGGCAAGUAGGUUGAUUUUUGAGCCACCUUGCACUCUGCCUAUAUAUAUUGUCGAAAGAUGGACUAACUAAACACAUUUAGUGGUAAAAUAGGUGAAUAUGGAGAAUAAUAAUAAUUAUACCUUAAACAAGGAAUGCCAUAGUUCUUAAGUUUAUAGACAUAUCAAGGGAUUUCCAUCUUAAAUAUAUAUAUCAAAGAUUAAAGUUAAAAUUGAUUUUAAUUAGAUAUAAGAAUAACAGAAUACAUUAAUGCCAUGUUUCGUUUAAUGUGAAACUAAGGAAGCAUUUGGAAACGCGGUUUAACCCGCGUUCCCAAAAAAUUUGAAUUUUUUUUUUUAAAUUUAAUAUGGUUUGUACGUUUUUUAUCGUUUUGAUGUGCUGAUGUCAAAAAUGAUUUUUAAAAAAUGAAAAAACAUCAUUAGCAUGUAUUUUGACAUGAAAAGUUAUUUGAAAAGCAACCGCAACCACACUGUCAAACACACUCUAAGAGUUGAAUGUGCCGAACCAAACCAAACUCUAAAAAGUGAACAAACAAGAAUUUGUAAAUAUUGAGGAGGGAAACACGAUCGCAUCAAGGAUUUGUAAAUAAGUUUUCAAAGGGAGCCAUUUUAUUUUACUAGUAAGUAAAACCAGGAAUCCAACACAUGAAAACCCAGAUGCUACGCGUACUCUCUCAUGAAUGAACACGCCUUGCUAAUUAAAUUGCUAUAAAAAGGGUCUAAGAAUUCCCUUGGAUCAUGUAUCGGCCUGGGUUACACAAGUAGCUCUGCUGCAUAACUAAUAUUGUUCAUCACAUUCCCUUCAACAUCCCCUUUAAAGACGAGGAAACAAGAGGGCAAAACUGCAUUCAAUUAGCGAGCCGUGCUCAAUCCUCAGGGUGAGGUGGUCACGUGAAAUUUUCAUGGGUUUUUUUCUGCAUAAAAAUCCCAGCGUUCACUUUCCUCCAGCAGUCCAGACACCCAGUUGGAUAUCAGCGUGGCAGUCAAGUUUCUCAAAUUGAAAUAAAAGAAGCCAAGAUGCAAUAUCGUGGGUGGAAAAGUAGGCAGGUAGGGCAAGAGGUGUCAAAUUCAAGUGAAGAGAACAAAUUUGUGUGGAAAUGAAAGAUGGAUAUGCAAGUGGAGCAGUGUAUGCGCGCAGGUAGAUACAUAGUAAUUUAUGGUAUCUCAUGAACUGUGUUGGAUGAUAUAAAUGCAUGCACUCUUCUCGAGCACGCACUUCUUGUGCCACUUACCAAGUACCCAUGCCUCUGGAAUUUCAUGAACUCAACAACUAUAAAUGAUGAUCAUAAUUAAGAUAAUGUUUCCAACAACCUUUCAACAGGAAAUAAAAUAUUGCUAUUCUUUUGUUUCAACCAGGAAUGACUUCAUUCACUUCGACUCUUACAAAAGAAUGGCGUCAAGGACGAAAGGGUGCCCGUUUACGGGCAAAAAGUGAAACUUUUUUCAGGCUUCGAUCCAUUUGGGCAUAUGCGUGCAAGGGAUUUCCCCUCUGGAGGAAUGGCUUGGAUCAAACAGUUCAAAUCAUCAGAUAAAAUGAAAACAGAAAUAUUACUCCAAUAUUAGUAAAACUUGGAUCAAGUCGAAAAUACACGGAUCUCGCAUAACUCACAUGUUGAAUCCAUAUAAUUAUCUUUCUUUUUUCCAUAUAUUUUUUCUUUAUUAUAAAUGUGAAUGUCCGAGCCAGCUUGUGUACAUCUAGACUAAUCUCACGCAAGGGCGGAGGAGUAUAGGAGGCUAAGGUGGGCUGUAGCCCAGGUUAAAAAACAAUUAUUAAAAAACUCAAUACUCUCCCUGCAUAACCUUUACAUCAUAUUUGUGAAGGGAAUUAAGGGUCGCUUGAACCGCUUGUCUUCUGCCUGCGUUGGUGAUAUGGUCAUGGCCACUGUCAAGAAGGGGAAGCCUGAUCUCAGAAAGAAGGUUAUGCCUGCUGUCAUUGUUAGGCAGCGUAAGCCUUGGCGCCGAAAGGAUAGUGUUUUCAUGUAUUUUGAAGAUAAUGCUGGUGUCAUUGUGAACCCCAAAGGAGAAAUGAAAGGCUCAGCAAUUACCGGUCCAAUUGGGAAGGAGUGUGCUGAUCUUUGGCCUAGGAUUGCAAGUGCAGCUAAAGCUAAGAGCUUUAAUUUGUCUGUUCCUUUUUUUUGGGAAUUAUACUGUCGUUAAGUCCUAUAUGUUUUUGUAGGGUUAAUUUUAGUUGUGUUUUUGUUAUUUUGACUAAAUUUUAUUUGGAGCUUUAUAUGCAGUAAUGAACUUUAUGGAUUUUGUGCAAGAAAAAAAAAAAUUUCGGGGCUCCGUCCCGAACCCCAGCAAGGGGCGCUGCGUCUUACAAACGUAUCUGUUAAAAUAAAAAAUAAAAACUUUCCAUUUUGUUUUUUUUUUUUAAAAAAAUCCACUCCUUACAAAGAUUUUGUCUUCUAUCAUUUAUUUAAAUCCACUCUUUUACCUUUAUCAAUAAUUGAGAAGCACCAUGAGAUUUUAAUUUUCUUCUUCUCAACAACAUCGGGUUUUAGCUUAGGUUUUGAAGAGGAAUUUAAACAGAGAGUCACAAGAGUGCAAAACCAUCACGAUCAAGUAAGAAUUUUCAAGCUCUAACUUAGCUCUAUAACAAGGAUCAGUAACAGUUUAUAGUCCAGGAUAAAAAAAAUUCCUAGCUCCGCCUUUGAUCUCACGGGCCCUGAAGUUAACGACCAUACAAGCUUCUAGUGAUAUUGAGAGAACUCGAACUCGUGACCAUUUGAAAGUAAAUUUAAGACCUGACUAGUUGAACUACCUCAAAAAUUAAUGAAAUUGAUGAAAAAAUUAAAAAACAGUUAGGGCCAAAUUCAAAUGACCUCAACCCAAGCCAAAACAGAUUGGUGUGUUCAAAGCAUUUUAAUGGCUAUUUUUCUAGGCUUGACUUACCCGAUAUAUGAGAAAACCAACCACGAACACAUCAUAAUGUAAAAUAACGAGCUCAAAAAUAUUAACGGCAUCUCACUCUUCUUGACUUGCUAAUUGUUAAUAUAACCCCUAUAUUUUUCUACCAAUGACAAUUUCCUGCUAGCAUGUCUUGUCCUUUCAAGGGGCAUCGCUGAUAGCUAAUCUCUCUAUCAAUAGCAUAAUAAAACAUUAUAAUCAAUGAUAAACAUCAAUCUUUUUAUUAAUAGUAUAACGAUGAACAACUUAUUUUUUUAAUUUAUCAUGAUGUAAUUUUCAGUCAUUAUUUUACUCUGUAUAAAAUAAGUUAACAUGAUCGAGAUUUAUAAAUACCCGUAUCACCAUAUAAGUUAACAUUAGUAAGUACACCACAUAAAAACAAGUCUAAAUAAUAAGAAUUUAUAAACUAAGCACGACAUACCAUGCAAGGCAACAUAGCCACAUUGCUAAUCUUGUGCUUCUGCUUCUCUCACCUAUUACAUUGCUCAUCUCCCCUUUAUAUUUACAAAUUUAAGCUUUGGAAGGUCUUAUAUUUUGAUAGAGGUUUUUGCAAGAAAGUUUAUGGAAAUUAUCUCGGCGUUUCACCAACUAACUAGUGAUCAAACUUAGUCACUCUAUCUUUUCAAAAAAAGUUUAUUAAGAGAUUCAGAAAAGAUUUAUUAUUUUUUUACACAACAACCUUUUAAAAUUAAAAUAUUAUGUUCCAACCCGCCAAUCGUCCCCUUAUUGCUGGUUCAAGUGGUAAAAAUAAGAUGAGUUUAAGAUAAAUGACAGGUGCCUUGUGCACAUCUAGAAAUCAAAUAUUCUUCAACAAUUUUAAAUAUAAAGCAUUAUUUGGACCGUCUGUUUGGAUUUGGGCCGUGAUUUUUGUCCCCAGCUCACUAAUCCAAUAGAUUUAUUAGGGUGUCUCAAAAAAAGAAAAAAUAAAUAAUAAAAAAACAGGUUUCCAUGCUAGCCUCCCCAAUCCUUCCCGUCAAUAUACGAUAAUCGUGUUGUUGGGCUAGUGAGCUAGUCUCAUCUGAUGCAAUAUUCAGUGAUGGGCCUAUUUUUAGAUUCAUUUUGUAACAGCAAUACUUGGGCUUUUUUCCUUCUCCUAAUCAGAGGAGCAUUUUAAAGAUUUAAAGCCCAUUUUAACCAUUCGAUUAUAGGAAUCAAACCUUAAGACCCCAUAGGCCCAUCAAAAAACACCUCGACUUGGCCUCUGCAUUAUAAGCCUGUUUUCUGCAACAUUCGAGAAACCAGCUGUUUUCUUGAAGCCACGGGCGGGAGCCUGUCCCGAAGUGGUUUUUUUUUUCUUCUUAAAAAAAGAAAAAAGUCUUCUCGAGAACAAAGCUACAGGUUCAAAGUCCAAAAAGAGGAAAAUUAACCUUAACAGGGUUUAAUACUACUUCACCAAAACCCUCAAUUUUUUUAUAAAGAAAACAAGAAAUGGAGGAAGCGCGUGCAAAGCCCGUGUGUGCAGAGGAAGCACUGAAUCUGUUAAACUGUGUUGCCCAAUCGCCUUAUGAUCAAGACAAAUGUGUCCGUCUCUUGCAAACUUUGAGAGAGUGUGUUCUCAAUAAGGUGUGUUUUAGCUCUUAUUUCUGUGAUGUUAUUUAUUAUUAUUAUUUUAUUUUACAUAUGGGUUUUGGAUGUGAAGAAUUGUGUCCAUCAUUGUCAGUAUAGUUGUUGGUAUUGGGUCAAUUGUCAAAUUGAUUAUCCUUUCAUAGAAAAGACUCGAGAUUUUUGGUGAUUUUAUUUCGUGGAGAAAUUGGUAUAUAAAAUUUUGAUAGAAAUGAGGCAGCUUUGAAGAUGUAUUCUUCAAAGGUGAAAAAACAUUGUAACUUUGGAGUUGUUUGGAGCUUUAUUUUUGUGGGAUUUUGAGUUGAUGAUGUUAUUUUGGAACUGAGGAUUAAACUGUGAGCAGUACACUUGGUUUUGAAGCUUUCUUGCCUUGGAUUUGGCCUCUCUGAUGUCAAAACUAUAUGCUACUGUGCUGUGCAAUUAGCUUUUCUCUAUGUCAAGUUUGCUACUGAUGAUACUUCCAUUUCACUUAGUCUUGCAUUAUAUCUUCUUUCAUUCUUUAAUUUCUUAUAUGGAUUUGAACCCUUUUUUCACAAGUCGUCGCGUUACUUCUGCUAUCCUGUCUGUUAAUAGCAGAAGGGUGGAAAUGUGGCCUCUGAUUGGUCUUGAGAGCAUUGGCUUUGCUUUCCUGGUUCAAUCUAGUUAAUAUUAAGAUCUGUGUGAUUUGUGUGAUUUCCCCUGUUCUCUCUGGGUAUGAUACUUGGAUAUCUUAAAAGGGCAGGGCAGAUAAAAAAUUCAUUGAUCUUUAGAUUUUCUCUGGAUUUAUCACUAUAAGGUUGGAGAUUUCACUUCGUACAGAAAUUCCAUGGGAAUAAUGGUAGCGUGAUUCGAAUUUGUCAUGAUGAUACGUUCCUCUUCUUGAUUUGGCAUCUGGCGAGGUGCAGAAAAGAUGCUAUAUAGCUUCAAGGCCUAAUAUAUUAUUAUAGAGGGUUACUAAUGAAACUGGGUAUUACAGUAUAGAUAGCAAAGUAUAACUUAGUGACCAUGAAUUCUUGCUUCAAGAAUAUCAUGCUCAAAUGUUGAUGAAGCCUUCAAAAGUACUUGAAAAUCAAGCUCUGAGCUGGUUAAAGCUCCUUCAUAAAAAUGCUCAACUGGGACUUGUAGAAGCAAUUUACUCAUAAACAAUCACAUGUCUUUGGCCCAACUCUUCCUAGUCAGUGACCUUAUUUUAUGACUGUUCAAAUGGUUUACGGGAUUAUAAAGAUUUCUUGUACAUUUAUGUACUAAAGUCUUUCCUUCCUUCUUAAACUGUUCUUCAUGAGUGAUACUUUUGUACAGAAAGUGAAGAAGUUCUCGCUAGCUGAUCAGGACCAACAGGAAGCAAAUUCAGUCUUCAAGAAAUCUUAAUUGAGAUUCUGUGCUGGUGGCCUGGUGGGAUUUUUGUCUGAGGUCUAUUCAGAUAUUUAGUGUUGAGAUACCUGUUUUCUCUCCUUCCCUUGUGAAGGCCUGAUGACUAUCUUCUAGUUUUACUGUUACAAAACGUUAUAACCUAUCAAAAACGGUUACCUUCACUUGAUUUGGACUGGGAAUCCAUUUGGACGUUAGAAAGCCGACUUGUAAUUUUCAGGAUGCUGCAGAUUAAUGCAAAACCCUAUUUUCUGCAUUUUUUUUUUUGCUAUUAAGACUGGUGGAGAAUGAAGGGCAACAAUGGGAAUUAAUAUUUAUUUAUUUAGGAAUUUUGAUGCUGGAUGGCUAUUCUAGAUUUUGUUACUUGGGAAUAUCAGUAUUUAUUAUUUAGCAGUGAAAUUAGAAACUUCUUUAUUCAAUUAAAGACUUGUUAGGUUUUCCAAUUUCAUUUGGAUUGAGUCUCUCUUGGUUUGGUCUUUUCAAGAUUGAGUGUCUUUCUUCGUUUGUUCCUUAAAAAUCUGAGGGUUUUUCCCCCUAACCUUUUGUUCUUCUAUCUUAUAUCAAUUCUUGUGCGUUGUUGUAUUUUUCAUUUGUCUUGUAUGAUAUUUCAUAAAAAAAAAUCAGAAUUAAAAAAGAAAAGGAAGAAUAGAACAAUUUGUUGAUGGCAAACAGUGCUAAUAAUUCCGGGGCAAAGAAACUUGGAGAAGUUGAAGGAGGCGAUGUUCCUAAUUGACGAGUCUCUAAUGACGUGGGUGUGCUAACCUUUUUUCAUCAACACUUCAAAGAAAAAAAAAUUUAACUGUAAUGUCAAGGAGAUUUUUUUAAAAGUAUUUUUUAUUUGAAAAUAUAUUAAAAUAAUAAUUUUUUUUUUGAAAAAAUAUUUUUGAUAUUAAAAUAAUUUAAAAAUAUCAAAAAAUUUAAAAACACAAUAGAUAGCCUAAAAAGUCUCCAUCUGCUCUGGUUUAACCCAAAGCUAAGAGAUGAGAGAGGGCCAUCAUCAAUUUUCUACCUUACUAAGCUACCUUUUACCAGCAACCAUUCUCUCCCACAAAAAAGCAACGGCUAGCAUGCAUGAAUGAUCAUUGUCCUGUCACGCAUACACAGUAGUUGAAGCAGGCUGUAAUUUUGUAGUUUUGCUUGUUUUUUUUAGACACUGGUGGAUAUGCAUGCCAUGUUUACAGAAUCCCUCACAUGCGAAAUCGCAAUGAAGCAUUUUCUGGAAUAAGAAAUGUGGAAAAGCAAGAAAUUGAAUCAUCUUUCGGGGUAAAUGGAAACAAAGGAAGACAAGAGCCAGGGUGCCUCCGAACAAGAAGAUGGCAUUAGCAACAACCACAAAUCCCAAUAACAACAAAUUCGUCGUCACAAGUCAGAAACACCGUGUUCAUACAAAACAAGACCCUUGAUCACAGAAGAAAAUAAAAGAUAUAUUCACACCAUUCCCAAUAUCUAACCCGCCCCAACCUCCCCCUAUUCUACCUCCUCCAAAUUUGAACCAAUUCAGAAGCUGUGGGAUAAGUCUGCCGCGUGAAUGAGGUACGUGAGUGCUAGUGCCACCAUCAUCAGCACAUACGCAAUGCCUUGGUCAAUUGAUGUCCCUGAUUAAAAACAAAAGCUCCCAUUAAUUCCUGGACAAAGCCAUAGAUCGACUCCAUGUUCCUCCAUAUCAUUUUAUUUUUUUUAACAAUUUUUUUCCUUUUAAGGCAAGAUUCAAGAAGAAAUGCACUGGCACCUUGAUACAGAGUACAGACAUUUUAAUUUUGUUGUGAGUUCUGUUCGAGAACCAAAUAUUUUUUAAAAGAACAAUUUUUUUCCUAUCAACCAUGACCAUAAAUCAUUGUUGCUUAACAACUUCAAUGCAAGAGCCAAAUGCAUCAGAAUUCAAUCUCAUUUUCCUUAACACGUACAGAUGCUUGCAACCAACAAAUAGUACCAAUUAAUUCCAACAAUUUUUUUUUUAAAAAAAAACAAUUGGUUCCAAUAACUUCCUGUACCAUUUAUUCACCUAAAUCACCCAUUAAAUAAAUUCCUACAAGCCCAAAACUGAAUCACACUUUCACGAAAAUAUCCACAGCACUCCUGUAGUAAAAGAAUUUGAUAAUCCCAUUUCCCAAAACCUACAAAAUUUUUGCUUUGACAAUUCUGAAACUAAAUCUCCAUUUCAUCUCUAUCUCAAUCUAUCAGCUUCCUUUUCCUUUUUCUUCUGGACACGGGACCACAACAACUUUUAUUAAGAGAAUAAUUAACAUCAAAACUAAAUUGCAGCAUUAUAAGCCAAACAUUACCAAGAACUAGAUCUAUAAACAUUGUGUGUGUGUGUAAAGAAAACCGGGUUCUCAUGGAUCCGAGAUUUACCAUCUUAAAAGGCUAAAAAACACGUAUAAACAAGAACGUAGAAAGAGAGUUUUGAAUCUUUACCAUCACUGGUAGGGGCAGGGGCAGGAGCUUGGGCCUGAGCAAUGGGCAAAACGAUGGCAAAAACAACAAGAAGAGCAACUACAGCUGCAACAACCCUGGAAACACCAGCCAUUUUUCUUUUUCUUUUGAUUUCUCUCACUGCAACCUCUCAAAAGUCUGCGGUUAUGAAGAGCAGGCGCAGAGAGAGAGAGAGAGAGAGGUUAGUGCCUUUUUUAGGGCAAGAAUAAAAUGGAUGAAUGAUUUGAUGAUGUUUCCGUUGCUGAUUCGAUCCUGACGAGGCUUAUAUAGUUGGCACGAAACCGGUUGAACCGGUAAGACGGUAAGCAAAGGAGUGUGGGGUCCAGGCGCAUGUUUCGGUAGGAGAAAGAGGAUAGCCAUGUGUAGAGACGUUAGUUUCCAGCUACAAAUAGAUACCCGCCCAAACGAUUUGAACAAGUCUAUUUCUUCAAAAUUAACACAGAUGAUUUUUAAAAACAAAAAUAGCACGAGCAAAAAAAAGAUUUUUAAAAAUAACACUUUUCAACAACAAUUUUUUCUUGAAAUAUCUAAAAUCUAGAUAAUAAACCUAUAUCAUGCUUGUUUCAUGAAAAUUAAUUUUUUAAAAUUAUUUUUCAAACUUUUUUAUUAUUAUUAGAUAAGCUUUGAAUGCCAGCAAUAACAAUCUUGAAUAUUUAUAUAUUCUAUGGUCAGAAAAAUAACAUACAAAAUGUUGAAAAAUUAGCUAAAACUAGCCUAGUAAAUGAAAUUUAAACCGAACAAAAUUUUGAAAUUUAAUUUUAAAAAAUCUAAAAUUAAUUAGAAAAAUUAAUAAAAAUUAAUCUAAAACAACAUAUUCUUAUUUUAAUUUGAGCUAUAACAAGGAAAAUUUACUAUAGAAUCUGACCUGUAAAAUGCAUUGACAGAAUUCCAGCCACAUCCAGCAACAAUUGAAUUAAAAAUUAUGUAUGUAUUUUUAUAAAAAAAUAAAAAAACACUUAUUAAACACGUUCAAGUGUUUUUUUGAAUUUUGAUUUAUUGAUAUGAUUCAAUCAACUUGAUGAGUUAAAAGACAAAUCGGAUAACCAGUAAAUCUCUAUAAUAUUUAGAUUUUACUAUCUAAAUAUUUUUUUUUUGUUAAAAAAUAAAUUGAUAUGACUUGCAGUAUAAUACUCGUAAAAAAAUCUAGUUUUUACUACAAUGCCCAAGUUUUUCUAUUCUUUUCAAUCGUAUCCUUGUUCUUUUCAUAAAAAAAAAACCUUCUAAGAAAUACUCAAACAAUAAAAUAAACUAUGCUUUGCUAUAUUUUGGAUAUAGUCUGUGCUGUAUGCAUACAAUUAAUGCUGCAUGCAUGGUUACUUUUAAAUUAAUUUGUCUAUUAAGAUAUUCUUUUAUCACUGCUCAAGUUUUGAAUCUAAAAUAGGACUCUUGUCCCAGCCGACACAGUUCUUAUUUAAAAAUAAAUUAAAACUAUCAUUCUAUACUAUACCAUGUUGGAAUUAAUCCAACUUAUUGCAUAUUGCAAUACAGCCUUUAAAUCAAAACUGGUUCAUUUAAAAAAAAGAAAAAAAGAAAUUAGCAAUACAAGUAGCAGGAGAUAAUAUUUUUUAUUUCUAUGUAAUAAUUGGGGGAUCAUUAUGGUUACUUUACUAGAAAAAUAACAUUUAUAAUAAUUUUUUUUUAACGUGGAUGUCCGAGUUAGCUUGUACGUACCUCGACUAAUCUUACAGGUCCUGAAAUUAACAAUUAUAUAAAUUUUUAAUAAUUAUUAUAUUAGCAAUUAUAGAAAUUGAAUAUAAAAUUAUAGAGAAAGUAACCUUUUAAUUUCAAACUCCAUGGUUAACAAUUACAAUACUUUGCUUCUCUGAAAGAGUGACUACUUCCGUUUGAUUUUCUUCAUUUUUCUACAUAGAAAGCUGGACAAAAUUAAUGAUUUAUUUAUUUAUUGACAUGAUAUGAUGACACGACACAUUAAUUAAUAACUCAAUAAUUAACUUAAAAAACACCGCUAGUUUACAAGAUACAGCUUCGCAGCAUAAAAUUUUUGGCAAUGAAAUGCCAUGAUUGAUAUUAAUUAAAUAUCUGACAAAAAUACAGUGGAAGCGGUUGCAAUUUCGGUUAACACGUGGCAUUUAGAAUCCUGUAGUGCUACUUUCCUCCUGUAACGGCACAAGUUAGUUUAUACCUUCGGAAUCUUGUACUGGAGCCAGCAAAUGCCAACGAAGCUUCUGACUUUGGAGCAACUUUGGAAAUCACUAAUACCUGAUCACGACAGCCAAUGCCAACUAGCAUUCCUAUUUUUAAAGGAUUUUCCUUGCUUACGAAGGGUGAUCAUGCAAUUAUAAAUACUUCUUUUUUAAAAUAUUUUUUUAUUUAAAAAUAUAUUAAAAUAAUAUUUUUUUAAUUGUAUUUCUCUUUUGUAUUUUCAAAAUGCCAGAAAAUGCCAUCCUUAUUGUGUGUGUAAUAUAAAUAUAUUUAAUCUUUUUACUUAUUAUUAACCAAAAAUAUAAUGUAAAGAUAUGUUUAGGAGUAGCUACUAUAUAUGUGGAAGGGAAGUUUAGAGAUUUUGGCCUAUAUUUAAAAUACCUUAACAAAUGAAUUAAUUGGAUAAACACACGCCACUUCUCCAUUAAGCUAAUAACAAGACUCAAAUAUUAGAUCACGUACAUGCUUAAUCUUUCUUCUUUCUUUUUACCUAAGCCGAACCGUCGGUCGCUUCUUUUUUUUUUUUAGUUUAAUGUGGGUGUCCAGGUCAGCUUGCGUGCACCUCGACUAAUCCCACGGGCCCUAAAGUUAACGACCAUAUAAGCCUCCAAUGACCAUCAUAUAAGCAACCACAUGGCUCGAACCUGAGAUCACAGAGGAAACAAAUCUCUUGAUUUCAAGUUUUUAUUACUGGACCACCACCUAGAUAGUUUCAGUAGCUACUUUAAUUAUACCAUGAAAGUGGAAGUAUGUACGAUCGGGCCAUGGGAAGACAAAAGAGCCGAGGCAUUCGACAUUAAUAGCUAAACCAAGCCUAUACUUUGGGCCACGACGAAACUUGUACUAGAAGCCCUUAGCACAUUGAGGUUCAUUUCUGUACCAGAAGCCCCUUAUAUCAUCAAAAAGUAGUUGAAUAUAUAUAAGCAAAUCAAAACUUUCCAGCUCUGGAUCAUGAAACCCUAGGAGAAAAGAAACCCUAAGUCACAACAUUGCGCGACCAAGAUGAUAGGUAUUUAUCUGUUUGGAUGGUGUAAUAUUAUGGAUAUAUAUAUAAUAGUGAAUCUCUUGUAAAAUUGGUUUUCCAGAUUGGCUCCUAAUUGGUGUAUGAAGUAUUGCAGUGCUGUUCAAGGCUAGCUCAUGGCCGCCAUGACUCACUCCCUUUACUAGCAACGAUCAUUGGUUGCUUGCUGAUAAGAGACUAAGUAAGUUUGCAUCGAUCACCAUGUGAACGAACGGAGCUCCUAUAUAUGAAUCAAUCAACAAUAAUGCAUCGAUCCUUAAUUAUUCAAGAUCAGUACUGGUCCAUCUCAACAAUUAAUAAAACCCAGCGCGGCAGCUAAAGGUACAACACAUCCAUUGUCAAUAUUCAUAGAGUUCUUAAUUAUAUGAAGUACUGCUAAUCAUGGCCGUUCGUGCCUAGCAACCUUAAUUAAUUAUUAUACAUAUAUAUAGAUAGAUAUUGUUUUCUAGCUAGGUAAUGUUUAACCUUAAGUCUUUUUCAAGAAUUUUGAAAGCGGGGAUUGAAUCAACAAGAGGAGAGAUGAUAGGCCACAAAUAUAUAUUACCUGCAAAUCCAGCAAGGAAAGGCGACUUCCAAUGUUAAAAAUUAAAGUUACCCGUCUCUUGAAUGCAUGAUCAGGCUUAAUUAGUGAAUCACAAAAUCAACAAUUAAUAUGGUAUUAUAACUAAUAUGAAUUCUUAAAAAAAAUAAACAAAUGUGUUUGCUUAACCAAUUUUAUAUAAAAGAUUAGGUUGUUGGGCAAAACUUAAUAAAUAGUUUUCUAUUAAUCUUUAAUAUAAUUUCUUCAAGUAAAAACACUUUAAGUUUUAAAUUUUCACAAACUAACUAUUAUUUCGCACAGAAAUAUUUAAUUAAUUUGAAGAAUAGGAUAUAUAGUAGGAAUUAAACUCGUAAUAAUAUCAAUACUCUAAUACCGUGUUAAAAAAUUAGUUCUACCCAAUAAAACUUAAACUAUUAGACAAAACUCAAUGAGUGAUUUUAUUACUCUGGUUUUAGAAAUGAUUUCAUAUUACUCUCUAAUAUAUCAUUUUAAUUUAAAGAUUUUUAAACUUGAAACUUGUACCUUACCUAUUGAUUUUGUUUUUAUUUUAAUUAAUUUAAUUAGAUAAAAUGCUUUUUUAAGCUUGAAACUCUUAAUUUUAUUAGUUUAAUUACAGAGAAUAAAUUAAAGAUGGCAAGAUUAAAAUUUCUUAUCACUUGAUUAUUAAAAUUUUAAUAACAUAUAAAAAACUAUCUUUAACUCAAAAGAUUUCAUGGGUUCACAUAGAAUAGUAAGGUUUCACGUUAAUUUACUACGUCUUGCAUUGGAGCCCCCACCAUGCAAGUGGACUUCAAUCGGGAACAGUUCAUAAACUUGAUUUUAAUUUGUCUUGAAUUACUUCAUCCUAUUAAUCACAUUGAUCAGACAAAAAUAAAAAAAGUAAGAUAAUCUAGCUAGUGCCUGAUUGCUUGCCUGGAUAUAUAGGAUAUAGCAAGAGAAUUCAGACAGCAAAAACAUCAUGGAAAAUGACAGAUGCAUGAAAUUCAAGUCAGCAUCAGCGGGAAGGAUACAUUUUCUACAAGAAAACUAUUUAUUAAAUUGCAUAAUAUUUAUCCAAUCCAAUGCUAUGUUCCUGUCGUGGAGCAGAGGGCACUAGUUAUUGCCACAUUCAAUUAGGAACCUACUAUAACCAACUUGCACACGUAGUACUGUGUCAUUGAAUAUCAUGACAACUUUCAUCGGAAUUUCUUCUUCCCUGUUGUUGCAUCGAUCAGAAACUAGCUAGUUAUCUCAUGAAUAAUGGAUUAAUAUUCUAGCAUCUAAUUCAGAUUAUUUUUUUGUUUGAUUUAAAAAUAAAAGAAUUGCAUGUGAAUUAUAAUUAAAUAUUGUUGAUUAUAUAUGCUACUAUUAAGAAAAUACAUAGCAUAGUACUAAACAGUGUAAAGUUUCAAUAAUCACUAUAUUGGUAUAUUGUAGUUUUAGAAUUCAGAAUAUACAAAGUAUAACCUAAACAUAAACUAAAUAUGUUCUAGCAUAAAUAUAAGUUUGCCGAACAAUUCUAUAGUCAUAAGGUCAAACUAAAACAUUUAAACAUAAUUAAUAAGCAUGCUUGAAAAAAAUUACUUAAACAAAAUCUAAACUAAAUUGUUAAAAAUACUUGCUUAAUUAAGCACUUAGAAUUUGAUUUAGAUGAAGAUUUGUUAUUGUCAAUAAUCAGUCAUUUAUUCUUAAAGUUUUAAUGCUUCCUCUUAGUGUAAACGAAAUGAUUAAAAUUAGCUUCUCAUCAAGAUUCUAAUUAAUAUCGUCAUUUUAUUUAGUUGUAUCACAAAACAAGUUCCAUAAACUCUAAAAAAUAUGACUCAAAAUCUUUUUAUAAAAUAAUAGACCUCAAGUUUUAGAGUAGAAGGAAAAACUAGAGCAUAAACUAAAGAAAAGUAAUCGGGAAUAAAUGAGGUCAAGAAAAAUUCAAAAAUCUUUGCGGGCUUAAAAAUUAUUUCAUAACAAACCUGGAAUCUAAAAUCGGAGCCCGUGUCAUGCCAAACCGAGCAAGUGCGCUCGUGUGACUUACAUCCAAAGCCUACUUCACCUAUAGUCUCUCUCUUCUAAAAAAAGCUUUGGUGUUUUAUAGAAUCAUCUUUAACUUAUCAAUGUCUCAUCAUAUAGGCUACAAGAUAAUCUUGUAUUUUUUAGAAGUAAAUAGAGAGUUUUGAAUUUCAUAAAACAAAUCAAUCAAGGGUGUUUUAUAAUUAAUUUUUUAAUUAUUAUUAAUUUUUUUUAAUCAAGUUAGUUUUUCAUGUUAAAAAAUUUUGUUGGAAAUUUUACUCAUUUUUAAUUUGAUCUUAAAUGUACUUAUUAAUCAUAUUUACAAAUAAAGUUUCUAGUGCCUGCAUCCUGGCCUCUUGUUGAAUUCAUCAAACUAUUGAUUAUAAAACUUAUAAUAGCAAAUUUAUGACUGAUUGAGAAUGGGAAAAAUUGCUUGCCCAACAUCCAAAUUUACCCCGAGACGACAAACAACACAAAAUUGAUGGUUUAUAUAUCAAAUUUAAGGAACGUUCACAUAUAGGAUAUGUGCCAAGCUAUCAUAUUAAAAUCCCAAUGCAAUGGUUCUUAGUUUACUAUUGAGGGAAAAAUCACUAAGAAAUAUUGAUAAUCUAUCAUAUUAAUUAGUCUUGAUGUUGACUGUAUCCAAUUUGAUAAAGAAUCUACAUUAUUAGUCUAGCAAUCUUCUGAGCUUGUCACCUCAAGAGUAAGAAUUUAAUAUAUAUAUAUAUUGACCUAUGAACUGCAUAAUUAAUAACGUCGUGUCUAUAAUUAAUUUUAUUAGUUAACCACAUAAUACAAUUAUUAUUACAUGUGGUAUUUUUUAAUACAAUGACCCCCUUUAUUAUAGCGAGACGAGGAGGUUGAUGCUAUUCUUUGAGUUUCUCCCGUGCUUCAACAGGGUCAACCUUUCAGCGAGAUGUUUUCACCCUGGUGAACCUCUAGAAUUUAGCAGAACAAAGCCUCUAGAAUUUAGCAGAACAAAGCUAGCAUAUAUAUAUAUAUAUAUACAAGGAAGAAGGAAGAAUGAGACAUGAGCAGAACAAAGCCUCUAGAGCUAGCAUAUAUAUAUAUAUAUAUAUACAAGGAAGAAGGAAGAAUGAGACAUGAAUACCAGUUGAUCUAUAUAUCAACUUACCGGCAAUCUUCAAUAUAUUUAAUAGGAAAAAAAACACAGUUAAAACUAGGAUAUGGAUUUCAUAAACAUGCUAAUAAUUAUUUAAUACAUGAUUUUCUUACUACAAUACAUUACAUAGAUUGAGUUACGUACAACAUGAUAGUAUGUGCAGAAAUUUGAUGAUCACCAUCAAAUUGAGGACUUUCACUCAUUCUCUGAAGGCCAAAGGAAGGCUCCCAUGGCAAACUUCCUCUUCUGGUUAGCAUCUCCAAUAGCAGGCAGCCCGUACUCUUUCAACAAGCAGUCCAAUCUCCACUCAGGCAUGGUCUCGUAGUCAGACUUCUUGUACCUUGGGUAAUGCAGUGGCAUCUGGAAGCAAGAGCAGGUGCCUCUUUUGCUUGCUUGAUGCUGGUUAUACCCAUUAGGCCUCAAGUCUUUAGGCAUGGCCGAGCUGACACUGCUUGGGCAGCUAACUCCACUCAUCUCAACUAUCAACUCUCUGUCUUUUGAGCAUAAUCAGGGCUAGCAAUUGGCCUCUUAUAGACAACCUAGAGAGUAAGGUUGAACAUUUGAGCACGUCCUAGAACCUAAAAACCACAAUUUUGAUGGCAUGCAUUAAUGACCUGAAAGUGAAGCUUUUUUUUUUUUCAUGGUUUUAUACUUGUAUUGUACGC